UACGAAGGGGGCUAGCGUUGUUCGGAAUUACUGGGCGUAAAGCGCGUGUAGGCGGGUCUUUAAGUCAGGGGUGAAAUGCCAAGGCUCAACCUUGGAACUGCCUUUGAUACUGGAGAUCUUGAGUCCGGGAGAGGUGAGUGGAAUUGCGAGUGUAGAGGUGAAAUUCGUAGAUAUUCGCAAGAACACCAGUGGCGAAGGCGGCUCACUGGCCCGGAACUGACGCUGAGACGGCGAAAGCGUGGGGAGCAAA
rnacentral:rRNA from 1 species